rnacentral:rRNA from 1 species
UACGUAGGGUGCGAGCGUUGUCCGGAAUUACUGGGCGUAAAGAGCUCGUAGGCGGUCUGUCGCGUCGGUCGUGAAAACUUGGGGCUUAACCCUGAGCUUGCGGUCGAUACGGGCAUGACUGGAGUUCGGCAGGGGAGACUGGAAUUCCUGGUGUAGCGGUGAAAUGCGCAGAUAUCAGGAGGAACACCGGUGGCGAAGGCGGGUCUCUGGGCCGAUACUGACGCUGAGGAGCGAAAGCGUGGGGAGCGAACAGG